rnacentral:lncRNA from 1 species
ACAUCAUAGCUGGGGAACAGGGAUUCACAAGACCCAGGCUGUUCCCUACAUAUUUUUCCUCCUCAGACAUCAGUUCAUCAGUCAAUCAAGUCAUGUGAGAGUGGAGGCCAUGUAUUCCGUAUUCUUGGGCACUCUCCUCCAAGGAGGAAAAGGCCAGGAGGUCCUGUUAGAGGAUGCACUCUGAGAGGCCGGGCUCCCUAAGGUGUGAGAGUUCUAACCAGCAGGUGUAGACUUUUCAGGAGUGAGGAAUGAGGCAGGCAUUCCAAACCUGGAGCUUCAUCACCUUUUGUUUCAUCUCAAGACAAUUCUGAGGGGCUGUUUUGGAACGUGUCUGGAAGGUGAACGUUGAAGAAGAGUGUGGGCUUUGAUGUGACUCAGAUAAGAUCUUUCAUGGGGAGGCAGGAAUUUAAUGCCCAGAAUCUGGGCUGGUGUCUUUGAGGUCAGUGGGUUGCCUUUUUGUAUCCAAGUCCAUUGUUACUAGGUUGGAGGCUGGAGAUUCUAAAUGGCUUCCAGACCGCCUCUCUGAUUCUCUUUUGGAGAUGGGGUCUGAAAAAGACAAUGUCAGUAUUUUUGGGAAAUUCUGGAAAGUCUGUUUGGAAACCUGUGAAGACCUCUUGCCUAGUGCCUAAAUGCUCAAUGUGCAGCUCUAGCCACGUAGAUGUUUGGUA